rnacentral:rRNA from 1 species
CCUACGGGAGGCAGCAGUAGGGAAUCUUCGGCAAUGGACGAAAGUCUGACCGAGCAACGCCGCGUGAGUGAAGAAGGUUUUCGGAUCGUAAAGCUCUGUUGUAAGUCAAGAACGUGUGUGAGAGUGGAAAGUUCACACAGUGACGGUAGCUUACCAGAAAGGGACGGCUAACUACGUGCCAGCAGCCGCGGUAAUACGUAGGUCCCGAGCGUUGUCCGGAUUUAUUGGGCGUAAAGGGAGCGCAGGCGGUCAGGAAAGUCUGGAGUAAAAGGCUAUGGCUCAACCAUAGUGUGCUCUGGAAACUGUCUGACUUGAGUGCAGAAGGGGAGAGUGGAAUUCCAUGUGUAGCGGUGAAAUGCGUAGAUAUAUGGAGGAACACCAGUGGCGAAAGCGGCUCUCUGGUCUGUCACUGACGCUGAGGCUCGAAAGCGUGGGUAGCGAACAGGAUUAGAUACCCUGGUAGUC